CUGGGGAAACUGUAGAAUGUUUAUCCCUCCCUCUUCAUGACCAUUCAUGAAUCUACUGAAUAUUUCACUGCUGCAGGCAGCAUCUCUGAUCUGUGUUCUGGCAGGAGAAUAUUUCUUCUUUUCUGGUUUAAUUUUUGGAGCUUCAAAAAUGCAAAUGGCCUGAGAAACCUAAUGAGUUUUGUAUCUUUCCAAAAUCUUCAGACAAAAGGCUUUGGAACCUGAAUGUCAGACAAGGUUGCAACCUGAGCUACUGCCCUUACUGGCUCCUAGCUGCACACUGAUUCCUAGAGCAAGCCCAGGAAUAUGGCAAACCCUGCUGAAGAUUUAGUUCACCUUUGGCCCUAUUUCAGCCAAACAGCAAGAACAUUUAUCUGUGUACAUCUCACUGUCAAGAGGCUGUAAAAAAUCAGUGGUCUACAGAGCCAAGAGGGAAGUACUGCUGCUCCAGAUGCCAUCCAAUUCCCUUGAAAAGACAAUGAAAUACUUAUUCAAGAUUGCAGGCCACAAUACUGAAGUCAGUAAGCCUUUGUCAUUCAUAUUAGCUGGGAUUGUAAAACAUACUUCUCGGAUGGAUUUACAUUCUUCCCUAUUCUUUAUGCUACAUACUAUUUCUCUUAAAAUAGACUCUUUUUCAUCAAAAGAAUCUAUUUCUUCUUUGAUCUGUUAUAGCAUUUUCGAAAGCACAUGGGACAGAUAUUUUCCUAUUAUGUCUGGUGUGUUACUGCAGCAUUAUGGAAGCAAAUGCAUAAAGAUUCACCGUGAGCGUCCAAAAUGAACUCUGUCCUUCUCUGCUGCUUUAUGCCAGGAUGUGCAGACUGGCUUUGUCCCAUUCUUUCCCAUCAGUGCCCUCUCAUUCCCAUUGUUGUUAUUCUUAUGUCAUGGUAAGUAUUUCAGAAGAUUGCUUUACAGUUGACCAGGCUAGAAGGUCAUCCUUGAACUGUUAUAGCCUGUGAAGGCUAUGGAGUGUUUUUGAUGCAUUAAAUUACAGGGGGAGCCUGGCAUUUUGGUUUAAAAAGAAGCUAUAUUUUGACUGUUCCUAGCACACUUUAAUUCUAUCACAGCUAUCAUUUUCCUCUGCUGACUUGAAUCACUUGCUAGAUCUCAGCUCUUAGUUCAGCUGAAUCUUGUCUGUGUAAACUUGACCGUAUCUUGAACAUUGAGAUUUUUUAUCUUUUGUCCGUCUUUAAUGGUAGUGCAGUGUCAGCUGUCUUCAUUCUGUGACUGCUGGGUGAGGUCUUGGCUGUGAAGUCAGUGGGGAUUUUGCCACGGAAUUCAAUGGGGCUAAGGUUUCACUCAACGUAUUUUUUGUACUCUGUCUGUUUUAUUCUAAGCUAAAAAACACUCUUUAAAAAGCUUUUAGAUUUAGUUCUUGUAUGAAAUACUCUCCUUUGCCAGAGAAAAAUAAAUAGGUGUUUUUAAGCUAUGAAGUGUGGUGUCUUUC